rnacentral:rRNA from 1 species
UAAAAAGCUCGUAGUUGGAUUUCUGGUAGGAUGCUAAUGUCCGCUUGUUGCGUGUGCAUAUGCGUCCUGCCAUCCUUCUGUUAACUGUCCUGGUAUUCAUUUACUGGUUCAGAGCUCAGAUAUUUUACCUUGAGAAAAUUAGAGUGUUUAAGGCAGGCAUGCGCCUGAAUACAUUAGCAUGGAAUAAUAGAAUAGGACUUUGGUCUCC